AUAUCUCUCUGUACGGGAAGGAUGAGAAGCUUCGACCAAGGUUCGAUUCGAGCGCAGCGAGAAAGCGUUGCCGCAGGCAACGACCCGAAGGGCGAAGCGCGCAGCGCUGAGUCAUC
rnacentral:sRNA from 8 species